rnacentral:rRNA from 1 species
UACGGAGGAUGCGAGCGUUAUCCAGAUUUAUUGGGUUUAAAGGGUGCGCAGGCGGAAUGUCAAGUCAGCGGUAAAAUUUCGGGGCUCAACCCCGUCGAGCCGUUGAAACUGGCAGACUUGAGUUGGCGAGAAGUACGCGGAAUGUGUGGUGUAGCGGUGAAAUGCAUAGAUAUCACACAGAACACCGAUUGCGAAGGCAUCUCACGAAUCCGCGAUUGACGCUGAUGCACGAAAGCGUGGGUAUCGAACAGG